UGUUUGUCUCUCCAACCAAACACUCCCUAGCUCAUCACAUGAAUAUAAUCACCUCCAUUCACUCCAGAACCUUCCAUUGUUUCAGUCUUUCAAAAUUAGCCUAACAUUUAAUCUUCAAUUUUACUUUCUUAUUUUUAAAAUAUUCUCUUUAUUUAUUUUUUCUGUGUUUCGAUGGGAGCUGUGACCUCCUCCAUGGCGGCCAAGUUUGCGUUCUUUCCGCCGGAUCCGCCGUCGUACACUGUGGCGGAGGAGGCAGAUGGGAAGGCGAAGAUGGUGGAAGUGGCAACGAGGGAAAACGUUGACGUUUUGAAGGUGCGGACGGAGAGAGGGAACAGUGUUGUGGCGAUGUAUAUUAAGAACCCGACGGCUUCGUUGACUUUGCUUUACUCGCACGGUAACGCCGCUGAUCUGGGUCAGAUGUACGAGUUGUUCAGCGAGCUGAGUCUUCACCUCCGAGUUAACCUCAUGGGUUAUGACUAUUCUGGAUAUGGACAGUCAUCUGGGAAGCCUAGUGAGCAGAACACUUAUGCAGAUAUAGAAGCUGUUUAUAAGUGCCUGCAGGAGAAGUAUGGGGCAAAGGAAGAAGAUAUUGUUCUUUAUGGGCAAUCUGUUGGUAGUGGACCAACUAUAGAUUUGGCUUCUCGUUUACCAAACCUUAGGGCUGUGAUUCUCCACAGUCCAAUCUUAUCAGGCCUUCGUGUCAUGUAUCCUGUGAAACGCACAUACUGGUUUGACAUUUAUAAGAACAUCGAUAAAAUUCCCUUGGUGAAUUGUCCCGUUCUUGUGAUUCACGGAACAGCUGAUGAUGUAGUGGAUUGCUCCCAUGGGAAACAACUUUGGGAAAAUUGUAAACAGAAGUAUGAGCCCCUGUGGAUUAAAGGAGGAAAUCACUGUGAUUUGGAACUUUACCCUCAAUAUAUAAAGCACCUCAAGAAAUUCGUUACUGUCAUCGAGAAGUCACUACAUCAAAAAACAGGAUCUGGUCAUAUUCCUGAUCCACAGGACAAACCUAGGAACAGCAUAGAUUUUCGGGAGAAAUCCAGACCGAGCAUGGAUCUUAGGGAGAAUUUGAGGAGUAUUGAUCAAAAAGAAAAGCCUGGUGCAAGCACAGUCACAGACCAUAAAGAGAAGUCAAGAGCCAGCAUAGACAGGAGAGAUAAAUCAAGAAAGAGUAUAGAUCGCCCUGAGAAGGCAUAUCAUGGAGCAGAUAUACCUGAAAAAGCUAGAAAUAGUAUUGACCGCUUUGGGGAGAUGGUGAGAUCUGUUGGAUUGUGCAACAUCGAUUGUUUCAGGCCCACAGCCACUCAUGCAUAAAGAAGAUGGUGGAGCGUAUGCAUAGCUUGUAUUUUUGUCAUUAAUUAUUUCAUUGGUUGCCUUUGCCAAGGUCCGUGCCCUUGCCUUGGAAAGAGCUGCCAGGAGUCAACAAAGAUGAUCCGUUUUUUAUGUCAACUCAAGAGUCAAUAAAUGAACUGAGAAAACUAGCAGAUGGUACUAGUUACCUUUGUUCGUGCACUGAUUUGAGGACUGACAUACAUACUACAACUACAAGUUCUUGUUCUGGUUUUGCCUUUGGCGAUGAGGACAAAGAAGAGGGGCAUGAAAGUCGUUUCUAUUUCAAUCGGUAUAAAGUUGGUUUCUCCAACAAAGCUUGUAUUAACCUGACUUGAGCAAUGUGGAGUGGCCUUCUAUUUCUUUGUUUCUAUGUUUUUCAUUAGGAUAAUGAUGCAAAGUGUUUUGCAUUUUAUUAAUAACUAGUUUUAAAUUUGUGUUUA